rnacentral:lncRNA from 1 species
CGCCGGCGGCUGUAGAUCCGAUCGGAGGAAGGACGAAGGUGCCGACGGCGGCUGAAGCAGCAGGCUGGGAAGAGAACAUGACUCCAGCUUGAAGAGUCCCCAUGGUGUGGGGAGCGAUGGCAGCGGUGGUGCUGAAGAGGCCGAGGCCGGCGGUGUCGAAGAGGCCGAGGCCGGCGCCUGAGUUGUUGGCGGCGGAAGACAUGGAGAUGAAUCGUGAUUAGGCUGAUACCAUAUAAGACGUACGGUAAUUGGAGUAAUUGGAGAUUGAUUGAGGGAAACUGCACACCGUCUCCGUGGACGUGGCUCUCAUAUUAUGAAGGAGAUCGUACAAAUACAAGGUGCAUGCAUAUACGUAC